UGGGGAAUAUUGGACAAUGGGCGCAAGCCUGAUCCAGCCAUGCCGCGUGAGUGACGAAGGUCUUCGGAUUGUAAAGCUCUUUUUGGCGGGGACGAUAAUGACGGUACCCGCAGAAUAAGCCCCGGCUAACUUCGUGCCAGCAGCCGCGGUAAUACGAAGGGGGCUAGCGUUGUUCGGAAUUACUGGGCGUAAAGCGCACGUAGGCGGACUCUUAAGUCAGGGGUGAAAUCCCGGGGCUCAACCUCGGAACUGCCCUUGAUACUGUGAGUCUCGAGACCGGAAGAGGUGAGUGGAAUUCCUAGUGUAGAGGUGAAAUUCGUAGAUAUUAGGAAGAACACCAGUGGCGAAGGCGGCUCACUGGUCCGGUUCUGACGCUGAGGUGCGAAAGCGUGGGGAGCAAACAGGAUUAGAUACCCAUGUAGUCCCUGAGCGGGCUGGCAAGGCGCAU
rnacentral:rRNA from 1 species